GGAAAGAAAGGAGUCGAAGAGGGAGAGGCAGGAGAGACAGAAGAAGUCUCCUGAUCUUCUUUUACUUCUUGCGCUUCUUCAUACAUUUUUUGAAUUUUGUCCCUUUCUCUUUCGAUUAAGAUGUGU
rnacentral:ribozyme from 13 species